rnacentral:rRNA from 1 species
UGGACGACGCUGGCGGCGUGGAUUAGGCAUGCAAGUCGAACGGUAUCAUCCUUUCGGGGGUGAGAGAGUGGCGAACUGGUGAGUAACACGUAGGUUAUCUACCCUCAAGACGGGGACAACCCAGGGAAACUUGGGCUAAUACCGGAUGUGAGCAACUUUUAGUUGUUUGAAAGGUGGCGUAAGCUGUCGCUUGGGGAUGAGCCUGCGGUCUAUUAGUUAGUUGGUGAGGUAAGAGCUCACCAAGGCGAUGAUAGAUAGGCGGCCUUAACGGGUGGUCGCCCACACUGGGAUUGAGAUACGGCCCAGACUCCUACGGGAGGCAGCAGUCGAGAAUAGUCUACAAUGGCCGGAAGGCUGAUAGUGCGACGCCGCGUGAACGAUGAAUCCCUUCGGGGUGUAAAGUUCUUUUAUAUGUGAGCAGUGCUUCUUAUAUUAACAGUAUGGGGAGAGAGAUAUUAGCAUAUGAAUAAGCAACGGCUAACUCCGUG